GGAGGUAUAGCCAAGUGGUAAGGCAAAGGUCUGCAAAACCUUUAUUCCCUGGUUCAAAUUCGGGUACCUCCU
rnacentral:tRNA from 1 species